rnacentral:rRNA from 1 species
UACGUAGGGUGCAAGCGUUAAUCGGAAUUACUGGGCGUAAAGCGUGCGCAGGCGGCUUUGCAAGACAGAUGUGAAAUCCCCGGGCUUAACCUGGGAACUGCAUUUGUGACUGCAUGGCUGGAGUGCGGCAGAGGGGAUGGAAUUCCGGCGUGUAGCAGUGAAAUGCGUAGAUAUGCGGAGGAACACCGAUGGCGAAGGCAAUCCCCUGGGCCUGCACUGACGCUCAUGCACGAAGCGUGGGAGCAACAGG